GCCACAAACUUAGCCCAAAAUUUAUGAAUAUCAUGAAGAUAACUGUAUACUUAAAGUAAACCAUUUUAAUAUUUUAGUAAAGGAGAUAGAAAAAUCUAUUGGAGCUAUAACAACAGUACCGCAAGGGAAAAGUGAAAUACCAAAUGAAAAAUCAAGCAACAAAAAGUAAAGACUAUCUCUUGUACCUUUCGCAUCAUGGUUUAACUAGUCAAAUCAGGCAAAAUGUAUUUAAGUUCGACCCCCCGAAACUAAGUGAGCUACUUCAAGGCAGCUGAAAGAGCGAACCCGUCUCUGUAGCAAAAGAGUGGGAUGACCAUCAAGUAGAGGUGACAGACCUAACGAACUUAGUGAUAGCUGGUUACUCAAAGAAACGGAUCUUAGUCCAACCUAAAUUAAUAACCCUUAACAGUACACAAAAACAACCUUACAUUAUUUUAGCGUAACUCAAAUAAGGUACAGCUUAUUUGAGGCAGGAUACAACCUAAACCAGUGGAUAAGAUUAGCCUAAUGAACAAUCAAGUUGGCCUAAAAGCAGCCAUCUUUAAAAUUGCGUCGAAGCUUAGUUGUUCUAAUGCCCAAUUCCAAAGCCCUCAUCUUAAUCCCCCUCCAGUACUGAGUAAUUCUAUAGUACUAUAGAAACUUUUAUGUUAAAACUAGUAACAAGAAGAAGACCCUUCUCUUAAAUGUUAGUGUCUAUCAGAUAGGACAAACCACUGAUAUUUAACACCCUUGACCCCAAAGUAGUAACGAAUCAAGAAAAUUCUACCAUCGUUAGUGUUAAUCUUACACAAGAAUAUUUUAAGAAAGAUUUAAAAAAUAAGAAGGAACUCGGCAAAUAUUAACCCCGCCUGUUUACCAAAAACAUCGCCUCUUGAACUUAAUAAGAGGUCCAGCCUGCCCAGUGACUCUGUUCAACGGCCGCGGUAUCCUAACCGUGCGAAGGUAGCGUAAUCACUUGUUCUUUAAAUGAGGACUAGUAUGAAUGGCACCACGAAGGUUAUACUGUCUCCUUUUUUUAAUCAGUGAAACUAAUCUCCCCGUGAAGAAGCGAGGAUAAAAUUAUAAGACGAGAAGACCCUAUGGAGCUUUAAAUAACAUGGCAUCUACCUCACAACAUAACUUCUAAACAAGAUUUUUAGGUAGCAUGACUAUAAGUUUUUGGUUGGGGUGACCACGGAGUACAACACAGCCUCCACGUUGAAGGAAUAUUAUUCUAAACUAAGACCUACCUGUCAAAGAAUCAAUAUUUUGACAUUCAUUGACCCAAUACUAUUGAUCAACGAACCAAGUUACCCUAGGGAUAACAGCGCAAUCCACUUUAAGAGCCCCUAUCGACAAGUGGGUUUACGACCUCGAUGUUGGAUCAGGGUCUCCAAGUGGUGCAGCCGCUACUA
rnacentral:rRNA from 1 species